CUUAGAAAACAAAUGUAACUGCCCCAGUUCUGGUUGUCACGAAUCUUUGCCCCUGAUAUUGUAACCAAAUACAAACUUGGCAACCGCCUGUCUAGACCCGCUACCACAAUAACCUAUUUGUGGGGCUACUGAAGGUAUGCCACAUUAUUGAUUUGUCCUUCUGUUACUAACACAAGGUAAUCUUCCUUGGGUGGAACUAAAAGGAAAAGAGAAAGCUCUCCCAUGGACUUCAACUUGUUUCCACAAGAUGCCCCUGUGGUGACUUACAGUAACACACCAGAACCAAAAUGGCUUCAAAAUAAACAGUUUGUUUUCCCAGAUGUUGAAAAUCGCUGAUCUUUUUUCCGCAGAAACAACAGUCC